rnacentral:rRNA from 1 species
CCAGACUCCUACGGGAGGCAGCAGUGGGGAAUAUUGCACAAUGGGGGGAACCCUGAUGCAGCGACGCCGCGUGGGUGAAGGAGUACUUCGGUACGUAAAGCCCUAUCAGCAGGAAAGAAAAUGACGGUACCUGACUAAGAAGCCCCGGCUAACUACGUGCCAGCAGCCGCGGUAAUACGUAGGGGGCGAGCGUUGUCCGGAAUUACUGGGCGUAAAGAGGGCGUAGGCGGCACUACAAGUCUCAUGUGAAAUACCCGGGCUUAACUUGGGGGUUGCAUGGGAAACUGUAGAGCUUGAGUACAGGAGAGGCAAGCGGAAUUCCUAGUGUAGCGGUGAAAUGCGUAGAUAUUAGGAGGAACACCAGUGGCGAAGGCGGCCUGCUGGACGACAACUGACGGUGAGGCGCGAAAGCGUGGGGAGCAAACAGGAUUAGAUACCCUUGUA